UACGGGAGGCAGCAGUGGGGAAUUUUGGACAAUGGGGGCAACCCUGAUCCAGCCAUGCCGCGUGCGGGAAGAAGGCCUUCGGGUUGUAAACCGCUUUUAGUCGGGAAGAAAAGGCCAGGUCUAAUACAUCUGGUUCUUGACGGUACCGGCGGAAUAAGCACCGGCUAACUACGUGCCAGCAGCCGCGGUAAUACGUAGGGUGCGAGCGUUAAUCGGAAUUACUGGGCGCAAAGCGUGCGCAGGCGGUUCGUUAAGUCUGAUGUGAAAGCCCCGGGCUCAACCUGGGAAUGGCAUUGGAAACUGGCGAGCUGGAGUGCGGCAGAGGGGGGUGGAAUUCCGCGUGUAGCAGUGAAAUGCGUAGAGAUGCGGAGGAACACCGAUGGCGAAGGCAGCCCCCUGGGCCGACACUGACGCUCAGGCACGAAAGCGUGGGGAGCAAACAGGAUUAGAUACCCUGGUAGUCCACGCCCUAAACGAUGUCGACUAGGUGUUGGGAGAGAGAUCUCUUGGUACCGUAGCUAACGCAUGAAGUCGACCGCCUGGGGAGUACGGCCGCAAGGUUAAAACUCAAAGGAAUUGACGGGGA
rnacentral:rRNA from 1 species